rnacentral:rRNA from 1 species
CCGGCGACCGGCGCACGGGUGAGUAACACGUAUGCAACCUGCCCUCUUCAGGGGGACAACCUUCCGAAAGGGAGGCUAAUCCCGCGUAUAUCGGUUUCGGGCAUCCGAGAUCGAGGAAAGAUUCAUCGGAAGAGGAUGGGCAUGCGGCGCAUUAGCUAGACGGCGGGGUAACGGCCCACCGUGGCGACGAUGCGUAGGGGUUCUGAGAGGAAGGUCCCCACACUGGUACUGAGACACGGACCAGACUCCUACGGAAGGCAGCAG